rnacentral:rRNA from 1 species
GAUGAACGCUGGCGGCGUGCCUAAUACAUGCAAGUCGAGCGAACAGAUGAGGAGCUUGCUCCUCUGACGUUAGCGGCGGACGGGUGAGUAACACGUGGAUAACCUACCUAUAUGACUGGUAUCUCUUCGGGAAACCGGCGCUAAUACCGGAUAAUAUAUUGCACCGCAUUGUUCAAUAGUGAAAGUCGGUUUUGCUGUCACUUAUCGCUGGUUCCGGGCCGCAUUAGAUAGUUGGUAAGUUAACGGCUUACCAAGGCAACGAUGCGUAGCCGACGUGAGAGGGGGAUCGGCCACACGGGAACUGAGACACGGACAAGGCGACUACGGGAGGCAGCAGAAGGGAAUGUGCCGCAAUGGGCGAAAGCAUGACGGAGCAACGCCGCGUGAGAGAUGAAGGGCUUGGGAGCGGAAAACUCUGUUAUUAGGGAAGAACAAAUGUGUAAGGAACUAUGCACGUAGUGACGGUAACUAAUCAGAAAGCCACGGCUAACUACGUG